UCUCAUAUCCCAGUCUAUUUUAAGACCGUUAAUUCAUGGCAAGUUUCGUCUGAUUUGGCACACGGUUGAAUUGUUAUUUAAGUCAGGUGAGACAUUGCCCCGACUCGUUUGCAUAUGCGUCACCGUAUUUUCGUUCGUGCAACAACAUGUGGCUGCCAGGGAUAAAACACACAGAUGUCCUAGACAACUGCUGUUUCUAGCCUAUAAUACUAUCCCCGCCGUAAUGACACUUUCACAACUAUGUCUGUUGAUCAUCGUUUUAUUAACUGAAACGGCCAGCAUUACUCUGAAUCAUCACAGCCGUCUACUAUUGACUGGCGACUCAGUAUAGCGUCGUAUUCAUUCGGUUACCAAAAGUUGAACAGAGUGGAACUAUACACAGCAACUUAUUUAGUUUUUAAUCAUGUUGUUGAACUUGAGUUUGGUGUUGCUGUUGUCUACUUGCUUGGUUGUCGCCCAGGAAACCAUCACCCAAAGUAAUCGGCCGGAUUAUUGUUCUUUGCCUCCAAUGAUGGCGGGCGAGAAGAAAUGCAAGUCAUACAUCCCGAAAUGGACGUUCAAUGAAACGCAAGCGACUUGCGUCUCUUACGUUUACGGUGGAUGCAACGGCACCAAGAAUCUUUUCGACACGGAAGGAGAAUGUCAAGCCACUUGCCGUUCUCCCGUCGUUCCGCAGAGGAAACAGGCGGAUGCGUCAGCUCCGCCGACUUCCGCCAGCGGCCCAUCCGUCCAUCCGCAUCAGUAUCUCCUGGCCGUUAUCAAUUGCCUUUAUUCGUUUUUCUUUCUACUAACCCGAUAUUUUUAAUUGGCAAAUUAAGCUGUUGAAUGAUUUUAACUGGAUUAUAAUAGCUGCUGCGGGAGAGAAUAAACAUUUUAGAUAAUCAA
rnacentral:misc_RNA from 1 species